rnacentral:sRNA from 1 species
CGGAUGUUUUUCCACCAAAUAAAACAAAGUUCUCUGUUAAGGUUAUGCCCAUGUUUCUUGCUCUCAUUGGUUAAGUUUUAUGGGGAUAGUUCGCAUCUGUUUGGAGCCACAUUUUCAUUCAAUAAAUCUUUGUAGAGGGUAAUCGUAUAGCAGUACGAUUGAAAUAUACCGUGCAUAAAUGUUUUCAAUGUUUUUCAGUUGUUCGAUUUCAGUUUUCAAUUUGGCAUUCAUUCUGUCAUGUCUCGGUGGAAUAAUUAUUCGCUUUUAAGGCAACAAUUUGCAAUGCAGCAAAUUUUUAUUAUUUUUAUUCGAUUUUUAUUUUUUCAUGGAAAUUAAGCAAUUAUGCAAUUGAAUGUUUGUUUGUUUGUUGGUUGCUUGCCCGCUGUUGUUGUUUGUUGUUGCCACUUGUUUGUUGUUUGGCUGUUCAACUGCCGCACAGUGGCGGCUAUCGAGGGGUGCACGGGGGCAGAUUUGUCCUGAGUUAUGAGUCGGAUUAGCCGUUGAAAUAUCGUUUAUGCAUGCAUAAUGAAAGUGGCUUUAUGGCCAUAAUACCCCCCGAGAGCUGGAGUUAACUUUUACAUGCCGCCAUGGCUGUGGCAGUGGCUGUGGCUGUGGCUGCUCUUGUUGGGCCUCCACAUUCCACAUUGGUUGAAAGUUUAUCGGGAUUUGCCGUGUUUCAGGGAUUUCAUGUAAACCAUACUUGAGGUGGAUUUCCGUGGGAUUCAAAUGCAAAAAAGGCUCGGCAAAUGAAACAGCUUUACACUACUCAAAAUUUGUUUAAACAGGCAUGGCAUUUCCUCGUUUGAUUUCAUUUUGAAGGUGACCCUUCUGAGAACCCUCACACUUCAUGGAAUACUUAUAAUGAAAAGGAGACUUGACUUUAAUUAUGUUUUGGUAGACAUUUCAUGCGUGAAAGAGCAUCGAGAGGAGGCACCUUCUUUCCAAGAACUUAAAUUCUAUUAAGAUUAAUCAUGAAUGAGUUGAUAAUGUAUUUUUAGAAUCAUGAAUGAAAUAAAAUCGUCAUUG